rnacentral:tRNA from 1 species
GCCGGAGUAGCUCAGUGGUAGAGCAACGGUUUUGUAAACCGUAGGUCAUGGGUUCGAAUCCCUUCUCCGGCU